GCGAUCAUACAAGCACUAAAGCACCAGAUCCCAUCAGAACUCCGCAGUUAAGCGUGCUUGGGCAAGAAUAGUACUAGGAUGGAAGUCUCCAAGGGAAGUCUUUGUGUUGCACCCC